rnacentral:lncRNA from 1 species
CAACUUUUUUUUUUUAAUUUAAAUUCCGACUUUUAUUCAUCAUCCCAAAUGGGCAUAAGUAAUGGAUACAAACAGAGACUCAGAUAAAAUCCGUACAACCUAAAACUGCUCCGCUACACUUCCGAAUGAUACACAGACGGGUUACUUCGCUAAACUCCGGACCCAACUCUAAGAAGGAUACACAGACAAGCCGCUUAUCAUAACCCCAGACCCAACAUCGGUGAUCACCGGCUGGUUCCGGUUAAUCGGGGCGGGAGAACAAGUCUCCGCUUCCUCCUCCCCGAAUGAUCCAUUACCACCAUGAAGAUCAGAGAGAUUACAACACAACAUCACGAUCUAAAACUAUCACAACCUAAACACAAGAAAAAAAACAGACAACAUGUGUAAGAGAGAUAGUAUAAAGAUCUCCCCUUAACUAUAGUAUAUAUGCAUUCCUCUGUUUUAGGAAAUGUUAGUUAUGAUCUAACUUAGUCUCCAAGACUAACUCUGUAUAUAAACCUCUAUUGUACAUUACGUUCUAUAUAUCAAAAUACAUUUCCUAUAUGGUAUCAAGAGCAAACCGAUAACCCUAAAAAAUUUUUUUUCAGCCGCCAACUUCUUCUUCUCUUCUUCUUCUUCUCUCCUCUCGAGCUUUUCCUUCAUACACCCAUGGCUACCAAUGCUGAAAUUGUUGAUCCAACAAAAGCUCUUUUCAACCUUAACAUGGUCAAUGUUACCAAGUUAACAUCCAUCAACUUCAUGACAUGGAGCCUUCAGAUCCAGGCUCUACUCGAUGGCUAUGAUCUAGCCGGCUACCUUGACGGCACGACCAUAGCUCCUCCUCAAACCGUCACUGUUGAUGACCAACCAGUUGUCAACCCUGACUACUCCAAAUGGCGUCGCCAAGAUCGCUUGAUCUAUAGUGGUCUCAUCGGCACUUUGUCUCCAUCCAUUCAGUCGCUCGUUACCAACACCAAGACUUCCCAUGAGGUCUGGAAAUCACUCAGUGCAACCUAUGCUACUCCAACCAGAGGACACAUCCAACAACUUCGUCUCCAACUGAAGCACUUCGUCAAAGGUGACAAGAGCAUUGAUGACUACAUGAGAGAACUCACCAGCCGCUUUGAUCAACUCGCUCUUCUUGGAAAACCAUUGGACCAUGAAGACAAGAUAGAGUACAUCGUUGAUGGACUCCCGGAGGAUUACAAAACCGUUGUUGAUCAGAUAGAAGGGCGCGACACCACUCCUUCCGUUGUGGAAAUCCAUGAAAAGCUUAUCAACAGAGAGGCAAAGCUCUUGGCAGCCGUCACGCACACCUCUGCUUCAGUACCAAUGACAGCUAAUAUGGCUACCUCCCGUCCUAAGCAACAACAACAACAUCGUGGAAACAACUGGAACAACAACUACAAGACGAACCAGUACAACUCACAGAAACAAGAAAACAAAACUACCAAAGGAUAUCAAGGUCGGUGCCAAAUCUGCAGCAUCUUCGGUCACAGUGCAAGGAGAUGCCCUCAGAUGCAGCCACAGCAAGUCAACCUAACCGGGUCACCAUUCCGUCCGUGGCAACCUAGAGCUAAUGUAGCUGUCGCUGCUCAACACCCGUCAACUGCUUGGCUCAUGGACUCCGGUGCGACACACCACCUUACUAGUGAUCUGCACAAUAUGUCUCUGCAACAGCCGUACCUUGGUGAUGACUCCGUGAUGAUUGGAGACGGCUCAGGCCUAUCCAUCACACACACUGGUUCAAUAUCUCUUCCUUCUACUGCACGAAACUUAUUUCUAAAUAAUGUUCUAUGCGUGCCAAACAUUAAGAAGAACCUUAUAUCUGUUUAUCGCUUAUGUAAUGCUAACAAAGUAUCUGUUGAAUUUUUCCCUGCUCACUUUCAGGUGAAGGAUCUCAGCUCGGGGGUCCCGUUAAUCCAAGGCAAGACCAAGGAUGAGCUCUAUGAGUGGCCAGUCAACCCAUCUACCCUUCAAGCCUUUUUUGCUUCCUCUACCCCUACCAUAAGUCUGUCCGAUUGGCAUUUUCGUCUAGGACACCCGUCUGCUUCUAUUCUCAAAACUAUUGUUUCUCAUUUUUCUUUACCCUGCAAACAGUCUGUAACCCAAAAUACUUUGUGCUCAGAUUGUGCUAUCAAUAAAUCUCAUAAAUUACCCUUUCAUCAAACUUCCAUUACAUCUACUCGCCCACUUCAAUAUAUUUUUACUGACCUCUGGAGUUCUCUGGUUGUCUCUGUAGACAAUUAUAAAUACUACCUUGUGUUAGUAGACCACUACAGCCGAUACACCUGGCUCUAUCCAUUGAAGCUUAAGUCACAAGUCAAGGAGACAUUCCAAGCUUUCAAAGCACUCGUCGAGAACUUCUUCUCUACAAAAAUCGGCACAUUAUACUCAGAUAAUGGAGGGGAAUUCAUCGCUCUCCGAAAAAUUCUAUCUGAUGCAGGCAUUUCUCAUCUCACUUCACCACCUCACACUCCGGAGCACAACGGAAUCUCAGAGAGAAAGCACAGACAUGUGGUCGAAACAGGACUAACACUGCUCACUCAUGCUUCCAUGCCCAAGUCUUACUGGUCCUAUGCUUUCGCCACAGCAACCUAUCUCAUCAACCGCCUACCCACACCUGUCCUUAAGAUGGAUUCACCAUUUCACAAACUGUUUGGAACUCAGCCUAACUAUGCCAAAACUCGUGUCUACGGCUGUCUCUGCUUCCCUUGGUUACGGCCCUAUACACACCACAAACUAGAAGAUCGCUCUAUGCCGUGUGUCUUCAUUGGCUACUCCUCCACUCAGAGUGCCUAUCUCUGCCUUCAGCCCCACACCGGUCGAGUCUACGUCUCAAGACAUGUACGUUUCGACGAAUCAACCUUCCCUUUCAAAACAAACCUUAAGCCUACCCCGACCUCGACUACACCCGCUGAACCACCUCCUCCUACGUAUCCCCUAGCUACAACAAUCCCUAUACCGCUCCAGCCCCAACCACCACCCAACCCAAUUCCACCUGUUCCACUCGUAGAGCAAACGGGCACUCCGAGCUUGGACCCUCACCCGUCAGUUCAGGUACAAUCUUCAACACCUACUUUAAGUAUUACUAAUAGUGAUAAUGGUGGUGCAGAGUUAUCUCCAGGUUCGCCUUCUCCAAGUGUGGCGGAUUCCUCUACUGCAUCUCCCUUACCGGCUCUCUCCACUACGAUGGCUUCUUCUGCCUCUCAACCUCCGCCAUCACCAUCACCACCACCAGCACCGAUCAAUAAUCAUCCGAUGGUAACUCGAAGGAAGAACCAGAUCACAAAACCAAGCACAAAGUACAACUACUCUGCCGCUCGCCUGUCUGCUACACCAGCUGAACCAAACACAAUCACUCAGGCCCUCAAAGAUAAAGUAUGGAGAGAGUCAAUGUCGACGGAACUAGACGCUUUUGUGCGCAACGGCACCUUCACUCUGGUCCCACGGAAACCGGGUUACAAUGUCGUUGGUUGUCGCUGGCUCUACAAAAACAAGUUCAACUCAGAUGGUACUCAUCGCUGUCCAAAGUCCAGACUGGUUGCUAAGGGAUACAAGCAAGAGUUUGGUCGUGACUAUGUUGAGACGUUUAGUCCCGUUGUCAAGUCAACCACACUCAGAUUAGUUCUUGAUGUUGCGAUCAGUAACUCGUGGCCCGUGAAACAACUAGACGUUAACAACGCUUUUCUUCAGGGAACGCUGACGGAUGAGGUCUAUAUGGAACAGCCACCUGGCUUCAUUGACACAGACAAACCGGACUAUGUGUGCAGACUACAUAAGGCUGUUUAUGGACUCAAACAAGCUCCCAGAGCUUGGUACAUGGAACUUCGCAACUUCCUCCUCAGUCUGGGUUUCACGAACUCUCUAGCGGACACAUCACUUUUCGUUCUACAACACGGGGGCCACCUUAUCUAUUUAUUGGUUUAUGUCGAUGACAUCCUGAUAACCGGCAACACCACCACUGGUAUACAACGCAUUUUAACUCUCCUUGCAGAAAGAUUUUCAGUCAAAGAUGCAGAGGACUUGAACUACUUUCUCGGAAUCGAAGCUCAUCGCACGUCGAGUGGUCUCCAUCUCUGUCAACGAAAGUACAUACUGGACUUACUCCAUAAGUAUGACAUGAUGAACGCAAAGCCAGUAACCACGCCGAUGGCUUCGUCUCCAAAAAUCACUCUCAACUCUGGUGUCUCACUCUCGGAUCCAACUCAAUAUCGCCGACUAAUUGGGAGUCUUCAAUAUCUUCAGUUUACUCGUCUUGACAUUGCAUAUGCGGUCAACCGUCUCUCACAGUUCAUGCACAAGCCGACUGAAGAUCAUUGGCAGGCUGCUAAACGCAUCCUACGCUAUCUCGCUGGAACUCCGACACAUGGUGUUUUCUACUCUGCCAAGAACAACCUCGUACUUCGAGCUUACUCAGAUGCCGACUGGGCUGGUGACAGUGAUGACUAUGUCUCCACAAACUCCUAUGUCAUCUACCUCGGUCAACAUCCCAUAUCCUGGUCUUCAAAGAAACAAAAUGGUGUUGCAAGAUCAUCUACCGAAGCGGAGUAUCGUGCUGUUGCAAAUGCCACAUCAGAACUUAUAUGGAUUUGCAGUCUUCUCUCUGAGCUUGGUGUCUCGCUUCCAGCAGCUCCAGUCGUUUUCUGCGACAAUGUAGGAGCCACAUUCCUCUGUGCCAAUCCGAUCUUCCAUUCUCGUAUGAAACACAUCGCCAUUGACUACCACUUUGUUCGGGGACAAGUGCAACGCGGAGCUCUAACUGUUUCACAUGUCAACACUCGUGAUCAGCUAGCGGAUGCAUUAACGAAGCCACUCACUCGAGCCCGCUUCUUGGAACUGCGGAACAAGCUUGGCGUGACACCCACGCUGCAGCUUGAGGGGGCGUGUAAGAGAGAUAGUAUAAAGAUACAUUUCCUAUAACAACACAAGCAAACAUAAAACUAAAAAACGGGAUUGAAAGAGGCUGCAACACACAAACCAACUAGAACGAAACCUGCAACGAAACGGUUAGAAACACAUCCACUAGAGCAGCCAAAUGACUAA